rnacentral:rRNA from 1 species
UACGUAGGGGGCAGCAGUCGUUCGGAUCCGAAUUGUGGCGUAAAGAGCGUGUAGGCGGCCCGGUAAGUCCGCCGUGAAAGUCCAGGGCUCAACCCUGGAAUGCCGGUGGAAACUGCCGGGCUGGAGUCCGGAAGAGGCGAGUGGAAUUCCUGGUGUAGCGGUGAAAUGCGCAGAUAUCAGGAGGAACACCAAUGGCGAAGGCAGCUCGCUGGGACGGUACUGACGCUGAGACGCGAAAGCGUGGGGAGCAAACAGG